AAAUCUAUAUUAAGUUUAAUUUAAGAUUUCAUCGAUGAACAUCGAUAAACAACGUUGGACGACGUUGGACCACGUUGGAUAAUCAACAUAGGACAUAGAUUUUUCUUUAUUAUAAUUUAUUAUAUUCGAUGUAANAAUAAGAUGCGUGCGUUUUAGAUUUAAGUCCUAGUUUUAAGUAUAUAUUUUAAGUAUAAGAUAGAUUUAAGAUUUAGUAUUAAGAUUUAGAUUUUAAUAUUUUUAUUGUAAUUGUAUUUGUAUUCGAUGUAAAUGAUAAGA